rnacentral:lncRNA from 1 species
AGUGCUUCCGGGAUGCAUGACAAACUUUGAGUUAUGGGUCUCUGUCAUGAUGUCUCUCUUUAACUCACUGUCACCUGCAACACACACCAUGUCCUGAAAUCGGAGCAACCCAUCAGCGGAGACUCGAAAUUCUGAGCUAACUCCCUGUUCUGCAUCUUUCUUGAGGGCUACUAGGGCGAGAUCGGUUGACUAAGUUUCCCUUAUUCUCUAGAUU